GACGAACGCUGGCGGCGUGCUUAACACAUGCAAGUCGAACGGAAGGGCCCUGCUUUUGUGGGGUGCUCGAGUGGCGAACGGGUGAGUAACACGUGAGUAACCUGCCCUUGACUUUGGGAUAACUUCAGGAAACUGGGGCUAAUACCGGAUAGGAGCUCCUGCUACAUGGUGGGGGUUGGAAAGUUUCGGCGGUUGGGGAUGGACUCGCGCCUUAUCAGCUUGUUGGUGGGGUAGUGGCUUACCAAGGCUUUGACGGGUAGCCGGCCUGAGAGGGUGACCGGCCACAUUGGGACUGAGAUACGGCCCAGACUCCUACGGGAGGCAGCAGUGGGGAAUAUUGCACAAUGGGCGGAAGCCUGAUGCAGCAACGCCGCGUGCGGGAUGACGGCCUUCGGGUUGUAAACCGCUUUCGCCUGUGACGAAGCGUGAGUGACGGUAAUGGGUAAAGAAGCACCGGCUAACUACGUG
rnacentral:rRNA from 1 species